rnacentral:rRNA from 1 species
UACGAAGGGGACUAGCGUUGUUCGGAAUUACUGGGCGUAAAGCGCACGUAGGCGGAUUUGUAAGUCAGGGGUGAAAUCCCGGGGCUCAACCUCGGAACUGCCUUUGAUACUGCAAAUCUCGAGUCCGAUAGAGGUGGGUGGAAUUCCUAGUGUAGAGGUGAAAUUCGUAGAUAUUAGGAAGAACACCGGUGGCGAAGGCGGCCCACUGGUCCGGUACUGACGCCGAGGUGCGAAAGCGUGGGGAGCAAACAGG